AACGCGAAGAACCUUACCUGGGCUUGAACUGCACUUGACAAAGGUAGAAAUAUCUCUCCCGCAAGGGCAAGUGUAGAGGUGCUGCAUGGCUGUCGUCAGCUCGUGCCGUGAGGUGUUGGGUUAAGUCCCGCAACGAGCGCAACCCUUACCCUUAGUUGCCACCCGCAAGGGGGAACUCUAAGGGGACUGCUCCGGAUAACGGAGAGGAAGGUGGGGAUGAGGUCAAGUCAGCAUGGCCUUUAUGUCCAGGGCUACACACGUGCUACAAUGGUCGGUACAAACCGUCGCAAACCCGUGAGGGGGAGCUAAUCGGAAAAAGCCGACCUCAGUUCGGAUUGGAGUCUGCAACUCGACUCCAUGAAGCUGGAAUCGCUAGUAAUCGCGGAUCAGAACGCCGCGGUGAAUACGUUCCCGGGCCUUGUACACACCGGAGUA
rnacentral:rRNA from 1 species